rnacentral:rRNA from 1 species
GAUGAACGCUGGCGGCGUGCUUAACACAUGCAAGUCGAACGAAGCACUUUAUUUGAUUUCCUUCGGGACUGAUUAUUUUGUGACUGAGUGGCGGACGGGUGAGUAACGCGUGGGUAACCUGCCUUGUACAGGGGGAUAACAGUUGGAAACGGCUGCUAAUACCGCAUAAGCGCACAGCAUCGCAUGAUGCAGUGUGAAAAACUCCGGUGGUAUAAGAUGGACCCGCGUUGGAUUAGCUAGUUGGUGAGGUAACGGCCCACCAAGGCGACGAUCCAUAGCCGGCCUGAGAGGGUGACCGGCCACAUUGGGACUGAGACACGGCCCAAACUCCUACGGGAGGCAGCAGUGGGGAAUAUUGCACAAUGGGCGAAAGCCUGAUGCAGCGACGCCGCGUGAGCGAAGAAGUAUUUCGGUAUGUAAAGCUCUAUCAGCAGGGAAGAUAAUGACGGUACCUGACUAAGAAGCACCGGCUAAAUACGUG